rnacentral:misc_RNA from 1 species
GAUGAAGAACGCAUCGAAAUGCGAUACUUGGUGUGAAUUGCAGAAUCCCGUGAACCAUCGAGUCUUUGAACGCAAGUUGCGCCCGAAGCCAUUAGGCCGAGGGCACGCCUGCCUGGGCGUCACACGUCGUUGCCCCCCCAUCUACUCCUUCGGGAUUGCGGGGGGCGGAUGAUGGCCUCCCGUGCGCCUCGCCGCGCGGUUGGCAUAAAUGCCAAGUCCUCGGCGACGCACGCCACAACAAUCGGUGGUUGCGAAACCUCGGUUGCCCGUCGUGUGCGGUCGUCGCGCAUCGAGGGCUCGAAAAAAUUGCCGGGUUCCGGCUCGGCUUUCAACGCGACCCCAGGUCAGGCGGGGUUACCCGCUGAAUUUAAGCAUAUCAAUAAGCGGAGGA